rnacentral:rRNA from 1 species
CAGUCGCCGCGGUAAUACGUAGGGCGCGAGCGUUGUCCGGAAUUAUUGGGCGUAAAGGGCCUGUAGGCGGCUGGUCGCGUCUGCCGUGAAAUCCCCUGGCUUAACUGGGGGCGUGCGGUGGGUACGGGCCGGCUUGAGUGCGGUAGGGGAGGCUGGAAUUCCUGGUGUAGCGGUGGAAUGCGCAGAUAUCAGGAGGAACACCGGUGGCGAAGGCGGGUCUCUGGGCCGUUACUGACGCUGAGGAUCGAAAGCGUGGGGAGCGAACAGGAUUAGAUACCCCGGUAGUCCCUGUCUCUUAUAC